rnacentral:tRNA from 1 species
CAAGGGCUAGUUUAUAAAAACGGCUGCUUUGGGAGCAACAGAUAUAGGUAAAACCUAUGCCCUUGA